GAUGAACGCUAGCGGCAGGCUUAAUACAUGCAAGUCGAGGGGCAACAUGGUGUAGCAAUACACUGAUGGCGACCGGCAAACGGGUGCGGAACACGUACAGAACCUUCCUUCGAGCGGGGAAUAGCCCAGAGAAAUUUGGAUUAAUACCCCAUAGUAUAAUGAAGAGGCAUCUCUUUAUUAUUAAAGAUUUAUCACUUGAAGAUGGCUGUGCGGCUGAUUAGGUAGUUGGCGGGGUAACGGCCCACCAAGCCUACGAUCAGUAACUGGUGUGAGAGCACGACCAGUCACACGGGCACUGAGACGCGGGCCCGACUCCUACGGGAGGCAGCAGUAAGGAAUAUUGGUCAAUGGACGAAAGUCUGAACCAGCCAUGCCGCGUGGAGGAUGAAGGUCCUCUGGAUUGUAAACUUCUUUUAUAUGGGACGAAGAAAGACUUUUCUAAGUCGUCUGACGGUACCAUAUGAAUAAGCACCGGCUAACUCCGUGCCAGCCGCCGCGGUAAGAC
rnacentral:rRNA from 1 species